ACGAACGCUGGCGGCGUGCUUAACACAUGCAAGUCGAACGGAAAGGCCCUGCUUUUGUGGGGUGCUCGAGUGGCGAACGGGUGAGUAACACGUGAGUAACCUGCCCUUGACUUUGGGAUAACUUCAGGAAACUGGGGCUAAUACCGGAUAGGAGCUCCUGCUGCAUGGUGGGGGUUGGAAAGUUUCGGCGGUUGGGGAUGGACUCGCGGCUUAUCAGCUUGUUGGUGGGGUAGUGGCUUACCAAGGCUUUGACGGGUAGCCGGCCUGAGAGGGUGACCGGCCACAUUGGGACUGAGAUACGGCCCAGACUCCUACGGGAGGAAGCAGUGGGGAAUAUUGCACAAUGGGCGGAAGCCUGAUGCAGCAACGCCGCGUGCGGGAUGACGGCCUUCGGGUUGUAAACCGCUUUCGCCUGUGACGAAGCGUGAGUGACGGUAAUGGGUAAAGAAGCACCGGCUAACUACGUG
rnacentral:rRNA from 1 species